rnacentral:rRNA from 1 species
UAGGGAAUCUUCCACAAUGGACGCAAGUCUGAUGGAGCAACGCCGCGUGAGUGAAGAAGGCUUUCGGGUCGUAAAACUCUGUUGUUGGAGAAGAAUGGUCGGCAGAGUAACUGUUGUCGGCGUGACGGUAUCCAACCAGAAAGCCACGGCUAACUACGUGCCAGCAGCCGCGGUAAUACGUAGGUGGCAAGCGUUAUCCGGAUUUAUUGGGCGUAAAGCGAGCGCAGGCGGUUUUUUAAGUCUGAUGUGAAAGCCCUCGGCUUAACCGAGGAAGCGCAUCGGAAACUGGGAAACUUGAGUGCAGAAGAGGACAGUGGAACUCCAUGUGUAGCGGUGAAAUGCGUAGAUAUAUGGAAGAACACCAGUGGCGAAGGCGGCUGUCUGGUCUGUAACUGACGCUGAGGCUCGAAAGCAUGGGUAGCGAACAGGAUUAGAUACCCUGGUAGUCCAUGCCGUAAACGAUGA